rnacentral:misc_RNA from 1 species
GUAGGUGAACCUGCGGAAGGAUCAUUAUUGAAUUUUUUGGUGGUGGAUUGUUGCUGGCCUUUGGGUAUGUGCACAUCCUCCUCCGAUUUCUAUUCAUCCACCUGUGCACUUUUUGUAGGAGUUCUUUCAUCGGGUUUUUGAAGGUGCUCAUUAUGAGUUACUUGAAAAGACUAGUUGACAAGGCUUCUAUGUUCUUAUAAACCAUUGAAGUAUGUUAUAGAAUGAUCUUGUUAUUGGGACUUUAUUGACCCUUUAAACUUAAUACAACUUUCAGCAACAGAUCUCUUGGCUCUC